GGGGUUAGCGGGCGGGCAGUUGGGGUCAAGGGAUUAGGAACUGGAUGAAGAGAAGAGGUAAAAGAUGUGAUAUUCUGGUGAAAAUGAUUUGACGGAUUUUCGUAUAGGGGUUAAGAAAAUUGAAAGUAGGAAUCAUCCCUCUUUUCUGUAACGCCAAACGUAUUUUUUAUAAAUAAUUUAACGACCGAAAAUAGCAGAUUUUAUAUAAACAUGUACAUACAUGUAUGUUAUAAACAUAAACAUGUUUACCCCCG
rnacentral:lncRNA from 1 species